CAACUACUCCUUUCGUUCCGAAUUACUUGUCACAAGUAUGUAUGUAUAUCUAGAUAUAUUUUAAUUUUAGAUACAUCCAUUUAUGCGACGAGUAAUUUGGAACGGAGGGAGUAUGUG
rnacentral:pre_miRNA from 1 species